rnacentral:rRNA from 1 species
ACCGAUAGCGAACAAGUACCGUGAGGGAAAGAUGAAAAGAACUUUGAAAAGAGAGUUAAAGAGUACCUGAAACUGCUGAAAGGGAACCGAAUCGUUUCCAGUGUCUAUAAUCCGUGGUAUAUUUCAUUGGCGAGUGUGUGCGUGCGUGUGCUGUGGCAGCGGCUUUUUAGGCUGCGCUCGGCGUGUGUGCUGUGUGUGCUUGCUGGUGCCCUGUACUGCGGUGGGACGUCAAGGUCAGUUCGUAUGCUGCGGGAAAUGGCUGCCGAGGAGGUAGGGCUUACGCUUGCGUUUGUCUGUUAUAUCUUGGUGGACGAGUAGUCGCGGUUGGGACUGAGGUGCCUACAACGUGCUUUUGAGUGGGUUUGUGUCUCCGUGUGCGCCGUGUGCGGAUAGCUUGCUAUGCGUGUGUGGUUGUGUGUGGAUUGAUGCGGGCUUUAACUUGUUGCCGUUCGGGACGUUGACGAAAUGGAGCGAUUCGACCCGUCUUGAAACACGGACCAAG